AGAGUUUGAUCCUGGCUCAGGAUGAACGCUGGCGGCGUGCCUAAUACAUGCAAGUCGAACGAAACUUCUUUAUCACCGAGUGCUUGCACUCACCGAUAAAGAGUUGAGUGGCGAACGGGUGAGUAACACGUGGGCAACCUGCCCAAAAGAGGGGGAUAACACUUGGAAACAGGUGCUAAUACCGCAUAACCAUAGUUACCGCAUGGUAACUAUGUAAAAGGUGGCUAUGCUACCGCUUUUGGAUGGGCCCGCGGCGCAUUAGCUAGUUGGUGGGGUAAAGGCUUACCAAGGCAAUGAUGCGUAGCCGAACUGAGAGGUUGAUCGGCCACAUUGGGACUGAGACACGGCCCAAACUCCUACGGGAGGCAGCAGUAGGGAAUCUUCCACAAUGGGCGAAAGCCUGAUGGAGCAACGCCGCGUGGGCGAAGAAGGUCUUCGGAUCGUAAAACCCUGUUGUUAGAGAAGAAAGUGCGUGAGAGUAACUGUUCACGUUUCGACGGUAUCUAACCAGAAAGCCACGGCUAACUACGUGCCAGCAGCCGCGGUAAUACGUAGGUGGCAAGCGUUAUCCGGAUUUAUUGGGCGUAAAGGGAACGCAGGCGGUCUUUUAAGUCUGAUGUGAAAGCCUUCGGCUUAACCGGAGUAGUGCAUUGGAAACUGGGAGACUUGAGUGCAGAAGAGGAGAGUGGAACUCCAUGUGUAGCGGUGAAAUGCGUAGAUAUAUGGAAGAACACCAGUGGCGAAAGCGGCUCUCUGGUCUGUAACUGACGCU
rnacentral:rRNA from 1 species